rnacentral:rRNA from 1 species
GUCUAUGGCCAUGCCACCAUGAACAAGCUCCAUCCCCUCUAUUUCUGAAGCUAAGCAGGGUUGGGCCUGUUUCGUACUUCUAUGAGAGACCACCUAGGAAGACCAGGCGCUAUAGGCG